ACGGAAGGCAGCAGUGAGGAAUAUUGGUCAAUGGACGAGAGUCUGAACCAGCCAAGUAGCGUGCAGGAUGACGGCCCUAUGGGUUGUAAACUGCUUUUGUACGGGAAUAAAGUGACCUACGUGUAGGUUUUUGCAUGUACCGUAAGAAUAAGGAUCGGCUAACUCCGUGCCAGCAGCCGCGGUAAUACGGAAGGUCCGGGCGUUAUCCGGAUUUAUUGGGUUUAAAGGGAGCGUAGGCCGUGCUUUAAGCGUGUUGUGAAAUGUAGGCGCCCAACGUCUGCACUGCAGCGCGAACUGGAGCACUUGAGUACGCAGGAAGUAGGCGGAAUUCGUCGUGUAGCGGUGAAAUGCUUAGAUAUGACGAAGAACUCCGAUUGCGAAGGCAUCUCACGAAUCCGUCAUUGACGCUGAGGCACGAAAGUGUGGGGAUCAAACAGGAUUAGAUACCCUGGUA
rnacentral:rRNA from 1 species